AACGCUGGCGGCGUGCCUAACACAUGCCAAGUCGAGCGAUCUUCUUCGGAAGAGAGCGGCGGACGGGUGAGUAACGCGUGGGUAACCUGCCCUGUACACACGGAUAACAUACCGAAAGGUAUGCUAAUACGGGAUAACAUAAGAAAGUCGCAUGGCUUUCUUAUCAAAGCUUUUGCGGUACAGGAUGGACCCGCGUCUGAUUAGCUAGUUGGUAAGGUAACGGCUUACCAAGGCGACGAUCAGUAGCCGACCUGAGAGGGUGAUCGGCCACAUUGGAACUGAGACACGGUCCAAACUCCUACGGGAGGCAGCAGUGGGGAAUAUUGCACAAUGGGCGAAAGCCUGAUGCAGCAACGCCGCGUGAGCGAUGAAGGCCUUCGGGUCGUAAAGCUCUGCCCUCAAGGAAGAUAAUGACGGUACUUGAGGAGGAAGCCCCGGCUAACUACGUGCCAGCAGCCGCGGUAAUACGUAGGGGGCUAGCGUUAUCCGGAAUUACUGGGCGUAAAGGGUGCGUAGGCGGUCUUUCAAGUCAGAAGUGAAAGGCUACGGCUCAACCGUAGUAAGCUUUUGAAACUGUAAGACUUGAGUGCAGGAGAGGAGAGUGGAAUUCCUAGUGUAGCGGUGAAAUGCGUAGAUAUUAGGAGGAACACCAGUUGCGAAGGCGGCUCUCUGGACUGUAACUGACGCUGAGGCACGAAAGCGU
rnacentral:rRNA from 1 species